CAUUGGUGUGCCCGCUUAUGA
rnacentral:miRNA from 1 species